ACGAACGCUGGCGGCGUGCCUAAUACAUGCCAGUAGAACGCUGAAGAGAGGAGCUUGCUCUUCUUGGAUGAGUUGCGAACGGGUGAGUAACGCGUAGGUAACCUGCCUUGUAGCGGGGGAUAACUAUUGGAAACGAUAGCUAAUACCGCAUAACAAUGGAUGACACAUGUCAUUUAUUUGAAAGGGGCAAUUGCUCCACUACAAGAUGGACCUGCGUUGUAUUAGCUAGUAGGUGAGGUAAUGGCUCACCUAGGCGACGAUACAUAGCCGACCUGAGAGGGUGAUCGGCCACACUGGGACUGAGACACGGCCCAGACUCCUACGGGAGGCAGCAGUAGGGAAUCUUCGGCAAUGGGGGCAAACCUGACCGAGCAACGCCGCGUGAGUGAAGAAGGUUUUCGGAUCGUAAAGCUCUGUUGUAAGUCAAGAACGGGUGUGAGAGUGGAAAGUUCACACUGUGACGGUAGCUUACCAGAAAGGGACGGCUAACUACGUG
rnacentral:rRNA from 1 species